CUGUGAAUCUGAGCUGGGCAAUGGGGAAUGUAUUUCUUAAAGAUGUGAUGAGAAUGCAAGAGGUGAGAAAGAUUUGGAAAUUCCUGUUUUCUGAGAUAAACUUCUAUAAAUGCGUGCCACAGUUUGGAACAGGAAAAGAGUGAGUAUAAAAGGAAAGCAAAUAGAGAAAAAGCAGAUUCAGUAACAGUUUCUUCUGUAUUUUCACUAUCAGUGGCCACAUGUUUGGAAAAGCAUCUGUAUGAGGAAAAUUUAAAACUGUGUGUGUGUUGUUGUAUGGCACUUCAUUCUGAAUGAAAAAGAGCAUGCACAGAACAGUUGAAAUGUGGGUUAAGAGAACUGAGUAUCUUUAUUUUUAAGUGCUUUCUCUUCUUCCUACACAG
ensembl:lncRNA